GCCUCGGUGGCUUCGAGGCGAGAGCGCCGGCCUACGGAUCCCCAGGUGGCGGGUUCAAAUCCCGACCGAGGUG
rfam:Ixodes scapularis strain Wikel colony gcontig_1108379403130, whole genome shotgun sequence.